AGAGAAAGACAAAACCUUACUCAUUGUGGGAAACAGCUGCCAACCUCAUGCCAGAAUCUGGGAGGAGUAAUACUAAUGACAACAGCAGAGGAUCGCGCUGGAGAGAAACCUCAGGACGCAGAGACCAGGGACAAAGGCUGCGUGGGAUUGUGGUCAAACCAUAGGACCUGGAGUCCUGGGCUGCUUGGGUCCAAGUGCUGACCUCACCACUAACCAUUGUGUGAUUUUGUGCUCAGUUAUCUACUGCUAUUUGGGCUGGGCUCAGCUGAGAAGUUCUUCUGCUGGUCUUGCCUAAGGUGGCUGCUCUCAUGUGGGGCUUAACUGAGGUGAAGAAUUCAGGAUGGCCUCACUCAAAAGCCUGGCAGUUGGUGUUGGCUGUCAGCCCCACCACACAGAGGAUGGUGGCGAAGUCAGAGCGUGGAGGCCACCUGCCCGAGGUGACACAGCCAAGGGGCCAAGGUUCUGCCCUCCAGCCCUGUGCGGUGCACAGAUCCACCACGCAACAAGAUGACUCAGCGCAGCUAUCAGACACAAUGAUGCCGGCGCCAGGUAACAGCACGGAAGGAUGUUGGUGGCAGAAUGUUGAGCGAAAAAAAGCAGUUGAGCACGUCCAUUUUUUGCCAAAAUAAAAAGUGCAUUCAAUGUGCAGAGAAAAAAGGCUGGAAGGAUUGACUACACACAUUAACAGGGAGGUUACCUCUGGGGAUGGAUUCGGUGAUUUUGAUUUUCUGCAUGAACAUAUACAGCUUUGGUCAUCAGAACAAAAUAAUAGUAAAAAUUAAAACCACCCCGCCGCCGGGCCUGUGUUGACCACGCCCGCCUCUGAGUUUGUUCUGGGAGAUGGGAACAGGCACUGCCGCAGCUGCUGCAGCCCAGGGACCCCAGGCCCGCUCCCCCCGCCCUGGGGCUUCUCCCCAGUGCUGCUGUCUGCA